UAUAUUUUUGAAUAUUAAGAAAAUUAAAGCUCCAUGGCAAUUGAAGGACCUCCUGCAAAACAUCCUUCCUUGAAGCCUAGCACUGAAAUGGAAGAUCCUGCUGUGAAAGGAGCAGUACAAAGAAAGAAUGUACAGACAUUGAGAGCAGUUCAUUUGAACUAAAACAGUGAAUUUGUCAACAGAAAAAGCCUUACCAGUGGCUUCAGAGGAAGAGCAACAAAGGCGUGAAAGAAGUGAAAAGAAGCAACCACAGGUCAAAGAAGGAAAUAAUACAUACAAAAGUGAAAAAAUACAACUAUCAGAAAAUAUAUGUCAUAGUACAUCUUCUUCUGCUGCUGACAGAUUAACCCAACAAAGAAAGAUUGGGAAAACAUAACCUCAGCAAUUUCCCAAGAAACUGAAGGAAGAGCAUGAUAGAUGCACCUUAAAACAAGAAAAUGAAGAAAAAACAAAUGUUAAUAUGCUGUACAAA
rnacentral:lncRNA from 1 species